GUGUGUGUGUGUGUGUGUGUGUGUGUGUGUGUGUGUGUGUGCAGGGCCAGGUGCAGAGCGGUCUGCGCUCAGGGAUCCGUAUUGCUCAAGGGAACUACAUCAGGCUGACGGUGAGCAAAUCCAUACAUGUCCAGGUGGACGGAGAACCGUGGAUCCAACCGCCGGGACACAUCAUCAUCUCUGCUGCUGGACCAAAGGUUCGGAUGCUGAGGAAGUCCAAGCAGAAGCAGAAGAAGUCAUCAGGUGGCUCAAAGGACGGUCGUUCUGAGAGUCCGUCCUCCAGAGACGGAGGAAACUGACCGACCCGCCUAAAAAAAAUCAGCAUCCUGCCUUUUACCUGCCUCCUGCUGCUAUCUGGGAGGCCAUUUUGUUUUCCAUCAGCCGGCUGUGAGCUCACUCGUGGAGCUUCGUAGCGACGCUGACGGGCUGCAGAUCAACCUGGAGACUGAAGGAGGUUUAAAGUUUACAGCCUGCACGCGGUGGGAGGAAGUCCUGGAUCGCCUCAAGUUUGGUCCAGUUGGGAUCACAUUUCCAUCCUGCUGACCAAGCACUUAUCACUCACAGAUUUCAUAGUUAAUAUUCAGCAACUGAACUUUUUUACUUAAAAAAGAGGAACAAGUAACUUCUCAGUAUGGAUAAGCUUCAGAGUUUGAACAAAAUAAAUCUAUAGAAGUAUUUAACAGAAGUAGAUUUCUGUCCAGAUGUGACUGUAUAUGUACAGAAAGUAGCAGUAGACUCAAUGUCAGUUGAUUAAUUGUAAUAACUUUAGUUGUAUUAAUAUAAUGUACAGCUAUAGAGUGAUUAUAACCUUAAUCAUAUUGUCAUUAGAGAAUAUAAAGAAACAGGAGAACUCCUGAAGACAGGCAGUUUAGUUAAGAAGCUGCGACCACAUUUUGUUUAUCUAAACCACAAAUCUCCUUGGAGGCUGAAUGAUUCUUCUUCUGUGAAAUUUAUUCGUAAUAUUGGUUUCACACAAUAUUUAUGUGGUGAAGCUCUCCGAAGCUAAUGAGCACGCAAAAUCAAACAAGACAUCUCUGAAACCACUGUGUGUAACUGCAAAGAGUCAAAGAAGUAAAAAAUACAUAAAAGUCAGAUCAAAAAAGUGUUAAAGUGAAGAUAAACUGUAAAGCCUGAAGCACAGUUUGUAUUUCUGCAGAUGGAAAGUGUGAAGCUCUUACUUUGGCAGCAACACCAACUGUGAAUAUAUGACAGGAUUUAUAAGCCAAAGUUUGAUUUGCCAUGAAUUAUAAUCUUUUUACGAUGACGUUGCACAAGACGGAUUUUGUGCAAACUAGAUAAUAACUUGUGCACAAGAUUGAAAACAUCUAUCUUUUGUGACAUAAUAAAGAACUCAUGACCAGACUGUCACAAAAUCUGUCUUUUUAGUUGAUUUAAUUAAUAUUGAGAUCACGACAAAUAAUCUGAAUUAUACGUUCCAAAACGCAAUUGUGAAACUUGCCAAGAUUUACUUUUACGGUUACCAAUAUACCGUUAUUUUGCAUCUUUCUUUCGCUCAACAGAAUUGACUUUAUUUGUCCAAAUUUCUUAUAAAGAAUGCAAAAUGUAACUAAAAUUACAGUGAUGCGCUACAGAUGGUGUUGUUGCUACGAUGGAAACUGUGCUGCUUUACACUGUUUUCAGUUAAUGCUAACAUACUCAGCUGUGAUGUAUGACUGACUUUAUCGCUUUCCCGUCUUCUCUGGUAGCAGUUAGCUAGUUGAGUCUUAUUAAACUGAGUUUAGCUGAGCCGUGGAACUACAUAAAGAGAAAAUGUCACGUUAGAAAUUGUCAAAAAGUUGUGCCAUUGUGAUUAAAGGCAGCACCGUACAUUUGCUAAAAAACUAGCUAUAUAACAGCACCAUUACUAGCUUGUAAGGUGGUUAGCGUUUUCUUGAAAGUUAGCCAGCUUGCUAGUAUGUCGAAACAAAACUUAAUUUGUAAAUUAAGGAUAUGUUACUAGCUUUAUUAGCUAGUUGCCCUGCUAGCUUGUCUAUACAAAAUGAAAACAAAACUCAAUAAAUUUUACGGGAAAAUAAAAUUUGUAAAUCAAAAGCAUAGAUUUACUAAAAUGUGGGCAAAAAUGGUGGCACUGUAUCAGGUAGCACCAGCCACUAGCUAGAAAGCUAACUGUAUUCCUAGCUAAGCUAAACUGGAAACAACUCUAACUUUGCAAGUUAAUCGGCUCGUUUACUAGCAAGCUAACUAACAAGCUUGUUGCCUAAACAAAACUUAAUUUGAAGAACUAAUAAAGGGUUCAAUUACUAAAAUGUGGGAACACAUUACUACUGCAGAUAGCAUUAAAGAACUGAGCUGAAAACUAGCUCAGCAUUAGCUUAACAAGGUGGUUGCUAAGCUAGCUUGCAAUAGACAAAAUUAAAAGUUAAAUUCACAUAAUUGUAGGGGGAAAAAAUAAAAUGUUAAAAAUGUUGGUACAACAUUUGACCCUCUGUGCACCAGAUACUAGCUAGAAAACUAGCUACAUUACUAGCUAAAACUAGACAUAUUACUAGCUUGGCGAGCUAGUUAGCUUGUUUACUAGCAAGCAAAACUUAAUUUGUAAUUGAAAAUUGAUUGGGGUCAACAAAUUAAGUAAUUCACGGUAAUUUACUAUGAGGGGAUAUAUUUAUAUUGAUCACAAUAUUAGUUCUUUCAAUUAUUCGCAAUUUGAAGGUAAAAUUGCUCAAUUUAUCAAAACUUUACACCUGGGCUCAGUAUUUAACGUUGAAUGAGUUAAAAAUAAGGAAUACAACAUUGCCAGAUCUACAACAAUGAUCAUAUUUGAUAUGAUACAACUUUAAUCUAAAGUUAAUAAUAAUAAUAAAAUUAGUUUAUUUGCUGCCACAACAAAACUUGUCAACGACGAGCUUCAGCUGCCAGUUUAUAUGAAGGAGGAUUUAAAGAAAGAAGAACUUCGUCCACAUUCCAGAUGCAGAACGUAAAGAAAUAGAUAUUAAAGGACUUUAUGCUGAAGGUCUCAGCUCUUCAUGUAGCCACAACAGUAUUUGAUCACUGUACUUUGGAUGUAAUAUUCAGUUUUUUAAACUGCAUUAACCGAUUUAUUUUGAUGUUAUUUGGUGCUAGAAUAAUAUGUUAAAAUUCUGUGUUUGAUUCUAGAUUCAAGGAUCUUGUUUUUACUCAAAGCCUCAAACUCCAUUCAAAAUGUAGCUUAUUUAAGGACUAAUUGAUGGAAUAACAAGUUUGAAUGCAGACUGUAUUCUCCACAUUUAAUGACUUUAAUAAAUCAAGAUUACAGUGAGAGUUUCUGGCUUUGAAAGAACGUGGAUCAGAUACAUCAGUGGCAUUAACUGUUACUUUAAGUGUUUCCUACAGUCGACAGUACUGUGUGUACUGACAUGUAGCUGUGAGUAGUUUAAACUGUACACAUGCUGUCACAGUGUUUUGUUCCAUGCAUGAAGUACUGUAGUUCUGAGUGUUGUGUAUUUACAGCAUUUUGUCUCCUGUUUAUUCACAAUAAUGAGUCAGUCUGUCGCUGGUAAAUAAUGUCAACUGCUGGUUUUUACACGUUUUAAACAGUUAAUACUUCAUGAUCCUGCUCUUCAUCUUACAAAUUAUUCUUUUUAGAAUGACUUCCUGCUCGGGAAAAAAACAACUUGCAGAUUCUUGAAACUUGGGACAUUUGAAGUUUUUGAUUAGAUUUUAGGUGUUUGUUGGAUUCAAAAAUCUUUCUUUUACCACUGAAUGAUUUGAAGCCCUAAAGUCCUUAAAGAGUGUCUUUUUCUUGCUUGUACAAGAUAUAAAAAUAACAUCUUUCAGGACUUUUGGACUCCUUAAUAUAAUACAACCUCAAACAAGAAAGUCACCAAAAGUUUCUCUUCUCUGCAACUUGAUAUUUGAUAGAAAUAAAUUGAAAUCAACCCAAAAAACAGAUUUUCAGGAAUAUAAAGUUAACGAGCUAAAAGAUGGACAACCAGCUGUCUCGUCUUCAGAUUUAAGAAAAGCAGUUUAGUCCAAAGAAGUGUUUUCAACUUUAAUGACUCGAUGAGUAACGAUGAUAAAUGAUAAAAAUAUAGUUUCAAACAGCAGAAUAUCGAAGAUUUUUGAGCAAAUAUUUCCUCGUGCAUCCACAACAGUUAAUCUCUGUAAAUGUAAAUGUGUCCCUUCCUGUGUUUAAACAUCCUCCAUCGAUGUCAUGAACUACUCUCUAUUUGUUGUUCAAUGUUACAAAAUGUGCAGUUUUUUCCAGCUUCUCUGCGUCCGUUGUGCCUCGUAGCGUUAGAACCACCUGUGGUCAUUAAGCCCUGCCCCCCUGAGAGCAGACCAGGUGGAGGUUUGUCCUGAAGGUGGAUGUUUGUCCUACAGGUGGAGGUUUGUCCUGCAGGUGGAGGUUUGCCCAUUAGGUGGUUUGUUCUUCAGGUGGAGGUUUGUUCUUCAGGUGGAGGUUUGUUCUGCAGGUGGAGGUUUGUUCUACAGGUGGAGGUUUGUUCUUCAGGUGGAGGUUUGUUCUGCAGGUGGAGGUUUGUUCUUCAAGUGGAGGUUUGUUCUGCAGGUGGUUUGUUCUUCAGGUGGAGGUUUGUUCUACAGGUGGAGGUUUGUUCUGCAGGUGGUUCUUCAGGUGGAGGUUUGUUCUGCAGGUGGUUUGUUCUUCAGGUGGUUUAUUUUACAGAUGGAGGUUUGUUCUGCAGGAGGUUUGUUUUACAUGUGGAGGUUUAUUCUUCAGGUGGAGGUUUGUUCUGCAGGUGGAGGUUUGUUCUGCAGGAGGUUUGUUUUACAUGUGGAGGUUUAUUCUUCAGGUGGAGGUUUGUUCUAGAGGUGGAGGUUUGUUCUACAGUUGGUGGUUUGUCCUGAAGGAGGUUUGUUCUUCAGAUGGAGGUUUGUUCUGCAGGUGGACGUUUGCGUAGUGCCUCAUCAACACCGUCAGUGCUCUGAUGUUUUUCGUAUCUUCAGAUUUUUUUCGCUGUAAAUUUUCAGUUUUAUUAAAAAGAUAAAAUGUAUAUUUUUGCAGACAGAAGCUGUUUUUUGUGUUGUUUUUAUUUUUAACUGUAAAGUUGCACUAACUGUUUAAUUGAUGCUCUUUGAUGUGACGUUCAGGUCAUGAUGAAUGUUGUAACAACUAAGGCUGAAUAUGUUGUACACAUAUGUAGUACAAAUAUAUAAAUGUACAUAUAUGUUUAAAUACAUGACGUGUUUAUUCAGAAUAAACUAAAGAACAUAUGA